ACAUUUUUUUCAAAUUGUUCAAAGAACAAUAAACUAGCUUUUUUUUUUUAUUUCUUUGGUGUCAAAGUGCAGUGCUUGAAGCCCUUUUGAGGAAGUAACUAUACACAGCUUACAUUAAAAAGCACUCGAGUAUCCGGCACGAGGCAGGACAAGUACUUGUAUAAACGUAAGU